rnacentral:lncRNA from 1 species
CAAAACUCAAACUAUGAUCCAAAGAGAUAACAUAUCUCUGAUGCAAAGUGUCAAGAAUGAUCAGAUGAUCAUUCUUCAACAAGUUUGAAAUAAGAAGGUUGAUUCAUCUUAAGGACCAUCCCUCAAGAAUCAGGGAAUCGAAAAAUAUGAUCACCUCAACAAUCAUUUAAAUGCCAUAAUUAUCACUGAAUAAAAAAGGAUCCAAUUAAAGAUUAAAUAAAACUAUAUGAUUUAAAGAAAUAAAUUAUAAACAAAAAAAAGUGAUAAAUAAAAUAAAAAUAGAAAUCAAGAAGUAAAAUCAUAUAGAAAUAAAAACAUAAAUGAUUUUUU